rnacentral:miRNA from 1 species
GGUGAGGGUGGUUAUUG